GUGCCAGCCGCCGCGGUAAUACGUAGGGUGCAAGCGUUAAUCGGAAUUACUGGGCGUAAAGCGUGCGCAGGCGGUUUCGUAAGUCUGUCGUGAAAUCCCCGGGCUUAACCUGGGAAUGGCGAUGGAGACUGCGAGGCUAGAGUUUGGCAGAGGGGGGUAGAAUUCCACGUGUAGCAGUGAAAUGCGUAGAGAUGUGGAGGAACACCGAUGGCGAAGGCAGCCCCCUGGGUCAAAACUGACGCUCAUGCACGAAAGCGUGGGGAACAAACAGGAUUAGAUACCCUGGUAGUCCACGCCCUAAACGAUGUCUACUAGUUGUUGGGUCUUAGUUGACUUAGUAACGCAGCUAACGCGUGAAGUAGACCGCCUGGGGAGUACGGUCGCAAGAUCAAA
rnacentral:rRNA from 1 species